GUAGGUGGCAAGCGUUGUCCGGAAUUAUUGGGCGUAAAGCGCGCGCAGGCGGUUCUUUAAGUCUGAUGUGAAAGCCCACGGCUCAACCGUGGAGGGUCAUUGGAAACUGGAGAACUUGAGUACAGAAGAGGAAAGCGGAAUUCCACGUGUAGCGGUGAAAUGCGUAGAGAUGUGGAGGAACACCAGUGGCGAAGGCGGCUUUCUGGUCUGUAACUGACGCUGAGGCGCGAAAGCGUGGGGAGCAAACAGGAUUAGAUACCCUGGUAGUCCACGCCGUAAACGAUGAGUGCUAAGUGUAGGGGGUUUCCGCCCCCCUUAGUGCUGCAGCUAACGCAUUAAGCACUCCGCCUGGGAGUACGGCCGCAAGGCUG
rnacentral:rRNA from 1 species